rnacentral:rRNA from 1 species
CCUACGGGGGGCAGCAGUGAGGAAUAUUGGUCAAUGGCCGGGAGGCUGAACCAGCCAAGUCGCGUGCGGGAAGACGGCCCUACGGGUUGUAAACCUCUUUUGUCAGGGAGCAAGGUGCGGGUCGGGACCUGCUGUGAGAGUACCUGAAGAAAAAGCAUCGGCUAACUCCGUGCCAGCAGCCGCGGUAAUACGGAGGAUGCGAGCGUUAUCCGGAUUUAUUGGGUUUAAAGGGUGCGCAGGCGGAGGCACAAGUCAGCGGUAAAAUCGCGGGGCUCAACCCCGCUCCGCCGUUGAAACUGUGUCCCUUGAGUGCGCGAAGGGUAGGCGGAAUGCGUGGUGUAGCGGUGAAAUGCAUAGAUAUCACGCAGAACUCCGAUUGCGAAGGCAGCCUUCCGGCGCCCUACUGACGCUGAGGCACGAAAGUGCGGGGAUCGAACAGGAUUAGAUACCCUUGUAGUC